CCCUGCAGUUCUUGCUUGGUUUCCCACUGAGGCUAAGCAGGGUUAAACCUGGCCAGUACCUUGAUGGGAGACCUCCGGGGGAAAGCUAAGGUUGCUGCUGGAA
rnacentral:rRNA from 1 species